rnacentral:lncRNA from 1 species
CAUAAAGAAUUGUAGAUAAAGUAUUAUGAAACUUAGAAAGCAAGAGAGGGGGAGAAGGGAAGUCAGGGAAGGCCUCUAAUCCCAGCAUCACUAACUUCAAGGGAUCCUUAGUGCUGCCCAGAAGCCAUGGUAUAUUUCCUGAGUCCGUCAUCAGCCUCUCUUCUCAAAACUCCACAUAUCUUCUCUAUUGUCUCUCUCCGCUGAUCUCCUUUCCUCUUAUUUCAUUAAAAAUAGAAGCAUCAGAAGAGAACUUCCAAAGAUUUCACCAGCAGAACCAUUUGGCCCCAAG